rnacentral:rRNA from 1 species
AAUCAACGCUGGCGGCGUGCCUCAGACAUGCAAGUCGAACGCGAAAGUUUCCUUCGGGGGGCAAGUAGAGUGGCGCACGGGUGAGUAACACGUAGGUAAUCUACCUUUGGAUGGGGAAUAACAAUCGGAAACGAUUGCUAAUACCGCAUAAUGCAGCGGCACCUAAUGGUGACAGUUGUUAAAGCGGGGGAUCGAAAGACCUCGCGUCUAAAGAGGAGCCUGCGGCGGAUUAGCUAGUUGGUAAGGUAAUGGCUUACCAAGGCUACGAUCCGUAACCGGCCUGAGAGGGCGGUCGGUCACACUGACACUGACAUACGGGUCAGACUCCUACGGGAGGCAGCAGUCGGGAAUUUUUGGGCAAUGGGCGAAAGCCUGACCCAGCAACGCCGCGUGAGGAUGAAAUCCCUCGGGAUGGUAAACUUCGCAAGAACGGGAAGAAUAAGUAGGGGAUAAUACCCCCUAA